UUUUUUAUAGCUUAAUUAAAAAGCAUCAAAUUUUUAAUUUGAAAAUGAUUUAAAAAUC
rnacentral:tRNA from 1 species